rnacentral:rRNA from 1 species
GACGAACGCUGGCGGCGUGCUUAACACAUGCAAGUCGAACGAUGAACUUGGAGCUUGCUCUGGGGGAUUAGUGGCGAACGGGUGAGUAACACGUGAGUAACCUGCCCUGGACUCUGGGAUAACUUCGAGAAAUCGGAGCUAAUACCGGAUAGGACCUUGCACCGCAUGGUGGGGGGUGGAAAGUUUUUCGGUUUGGGAUGGACUCGCGGCCUAUCAGCUUGUUGGUGAGGUAAUGGCUCACCAAGGCGUGGACGGGUAGCCGGCCUGAGAGGGUGACCGGCCACACUGGGACUGAGACACGGCCCAGACUCCUACGGGAGGCAGCAGUGGGGAAUAUUGCACAAUGGGCGCAAGCCUGAUGCAGCAACGCCGCGUGCGGGAUGACGGCCUUCGGGUUGUAAACCGCUUUUAGUAGGGAAGAAGCCUUCGGGUGACGGUACCUGCAGAAAAAGGACCGGCUAACUACGUGCCAGCAGCCGCCGUAAGAC